CAGUCGUACCGACGAGAAAUCAGCUUAUCGUGUGUAAACUUGUGGGCGUGCGUGAGUUUCGGCCUCGCUGUUUGCAUGUUUGUGCUCUUUGGGUGUACUUUUUCGUAUGGUAGGCCAACAUCAGUUUCGAUUACUAUAAAAUGACUGGCGGAAUGUAGCUUCGAUUUCGGUUGAAGUGUUAUAGCCUCUGGUAGAUGUGGUGAUUGGGACUGAGGAUUGCAACGAAUAUCCUUUGGGCUAUCCGUCUGGCCUCUGAAAGUUGCUUGGGUGCUGAAAGCUUGCUUAUGGUUAUCUAAGUUAACGGUCAAUAGGUUAGAACGUGAUUACA
rnacentral:rRNA from 1 species